CCCGUAACGAGCGCAACCCUUGUCCUUAGUUACCAGCACGUUAUGGUGGGCACUCUAAGGAGACUGCCGGUGACAAACCGGAGGAAGGUGGGGAUGACGUCAAGUCAUCAUGGCCCUUACGGCCUGGGCUACACACGUGCUACAAUGGUCGGUACAGAGGGUUGCCAAGCCGCGAGGUGGAGCUAAUCCCAUAAAACCGAUCGUAGUCCGGAUCGCAGUCUGCAACUCGACUGCGUGAAGUCGGAAUCGCUAGUAAUCGCGAAUCAGAAUGUCGCGGUGAAUACGUU
rnacentral:rRNA from 1 species